GUCCUUUGCAUUUCUGGAAGAAUUUUAGAAUUAUCUUAUCAACUGCCAUAAAAAUAUCUGCUGGAAUUUUUAUUGGAAUGGCAUUGCCUCUCUCGGUCAAUUUGAGGAUUACUGACAUCUUAAGGAUAUUGGAUCUUCCUAACCUGUGAACACAGUACAUCCCUCUAUCUAGGUGGUCUUAAUUUCACUUCUCUUACAGAUUUUACUGAAAAGGUAUUCCACAUCUUUUCACAUCACUGUAAAUGGUAUUAUUUUUAAAAUUUGCAUAUCCAAUUGUUACUGAUACACAGAAACACAACUGACCUUGUAAUAUCGAUCCUGUCUUCCAACUUUGCUAAACUACUAAUUAAUUGAUCACAUAAAAUGUAUCCUCUCUUUUACAAUAUUUUUAGGAAGAGUUUCUGUAGAAUAAUUGUAUCUUCCUUGGAAGUUUGGCAGAAGUCAUUAGGUAAGCCAUUUGGGCCUGAAUUGUCAUUGUGGGAAAGUUUCUAUAUGCAAAUUCAACUACUUGAAUACAUAUGGAGCUAUUCAAG
rnacentral:lncRNA from 1 species